UGCAAUCGCAUUCCUCUCCGCAGCCUC
rnacentral:piRNA from 1 species